rnacentral:rRNA from 1 species
AGAGCGAACGCUGGCGGCAGGCCUAACACAUGCAAGUCGAGCGCCCGUAGCAAUACGGGAGCGGCAGACGGGAUAGUAACACGUGGGAACGCGCCCUUCGGUUCGGAAUAACUCAGGGAAACUUGAGCUAAUACCGAAUACGCCCUUACGGGGAAAGAUUUAUUGCCGAAGGAACGGCCCGCGUCCGAUUAGCUAGUUGGUGAGGUAAUGGCUCACCAAGGCUACGAUCGGUAGCUGGUCUGAGAGGAUGACCAGCAUCGCUGGGACUGAGACACGGCCCAGACUCCUACGGGAGGCAGCAGUGGGGAAUAUGGACAAUGGGCGAAAGCCUGAUCCAGCCAUACCGCGUGGAUGAUGAAGGCCUUAGGGUUGUAAAGUCCUUUUAACGGGAGAUAAUGACGUACCGUAGAUAAGCCCGGCUAACUUCGUGCCAGCAGCCGC